AUACUUACCUGGUUCCAGAGCCUCGUUGGUCACCGAGGACGAGCCCCCAGGGUGAGGCGCGGGCAUUGCACUGCGCUCGCGUUGACCCCUGCCACUACCCCAAACUGAGACAGAUGGAGAAUGCAAAUUGCAUAAAUCUGGUUAAACUCAAGAUAGGGCUCCACCACC
rnacentral:snRNA from 1 species